UAAAUAAAUCACAAAAUACAAGCUUACUACUCUAUCACAGAAAUUAUCACAGAUUUUCUUCAGUGCAUCCCGUGAUGCAAAUCUUGGUUUGCUCCAAGAUGCCAUCACCGGUUCACUGGUAAACCUGUGGCCAGGAGCAAAUCGUCGGCAAUGUCGCCGACCAGCCUCCCGUUCUACUUCCAACUUCCCUACACAGCUGACUUCCCCGUCACCACUCCCUAGCAAUUGCAAUCUAUGUUGCAAGCCAUAGGUCGUGAUGGCGGCGGCGUCAGGGUCAUAAAUGGGCGAGACGUCGUCGCCUCGACAAUUUAUUUUGUUUAAAUUGGGCGCCAAUAUGUUACGAACUGCUUUUUUUUGGUGGCAGUGCCGCUAGCUCAGUCUUUUCUCAAGGCAGAGUACCCCUAAUGCCACAGCUCGCAACAUAAAUAUCGAUAACUUCACGGUCUCACAUUACUAAUCGGUUAUCACUAAUGACAAAAAAAACGUAAUCAAAGCAAAAAUCUACAAAUAUUGACGGGAAAAUGGAUUACAUUUGGUGGCUAUCGGUGACCUAGCCAAGCGCUCCCACCCAACCAUGGGUGCCCUCGAGGCGCUGCAGGGCACCACCCAUUCUCUGUCGGCAGGAGCCCCCUCCUCGCGACUACGACGGUUCCAUCUCCCCCACUGGGAAAGCUUACUCACACAUUGUGGGUAUUACAAAGGUUUAAUAAAUAUCCCUUUAAGACCUAAACCUGGCCGCCGUCUCGGAUAUUUACGCGGUCAAAGCAGAGGAUUUGUUUUGGCUGGAAAAGCGUACAGGCGCCGCGGAAACUAUGCUCUACCAGUCAUGUAUUGGUAGAGCUCGCAUGGAAACGCGGCCCUCAAAGGAACAUGAGCGAUGCGCGUGUGUAUGGUCACCUAAUUCUGAGGAGCUCAAGGGGAAAAGAAGGGACAGGCCAAAAAGGCAAACAACGAGGACAAAUAAGGCUCUCGAGUCUAACUCCGGAUAAAUUCACAAACAGGGAAGUAAAUAUCAAUAUAUAUAAUCAAGGUACACGUGUAUUCAAAUUUUCCUAAAUUUCAGCCACUGUUGGGCCGGGCCUGGAGGCGAUGAUAGCCCGGGCUGAUGACUUCCAGCCGGAGGCCAGCAGCGAUACAGGUCUCCAGGAAAGAAAACUGGCGCUCUCCGGUGAGUUAUGCAAGGGCAGUCUGAGGUUCGGCCGCCCGACAAAAUGGCGGUACCUCUCAACGCCGCGAUGCGACGGCUGGAAGUCCCCGAGAUGAGGUGGACGCGGUACACCGGAACGGACUCACCGGGAAAUGUUUGAUGUCGUCGGCGUCGACUGCGAAGACUGCUUUUCUGGGUGGUCGUCGGUACGGGUCGAACGGCCACCGGUUGCUGGGCAGCCAAGUCGGGCUGGUAGGUAUGGCGAAGUCGCGCAAAUGUCAGUAGAACUCCAAAUAAAUAUUCCGGGGCCCUUUGUGUUGGGACCCCGGCUGCCUUUAUAAAUGAUAAAUAUUAAAUACCGA